UUUGCAGUUUUAUGCAGACGGAUUUUGCCGAUGGAUGCUUAGGGCGUCUUAAGCCCCUGUAUGUGCAUCUUUGGGGCCACGUUUUGGCUCUUGGGGAGGAAGCAUGCAGGCUUCGGGAGUCUGGGAGCAGCGAGCAAGGGGAUGCCUUCUGUGGGUUUUUCCGUUGAGUGCACAUCUCCCAACGGUUACUACGGCAACACCGACUGGGACUACGGCCGCUACCCGCCCAGACCCAAGCCGCCCGCAGCAGGUGGUGGCAGUUACUACCCCAGCCACGACGGGUCCGGAAACACGCACGGUACGCCUAGCACCUGGGCCCCCGGUGGGCAGGGGGGUGGGGGUCGUCUUUGCAGGGGCUCCCCCCUGCAUCCCUAUCACAGCCUCCUCCUGGGGUCUUCGGUGUUGGCACUCUGUCUGCUGGCAUCCGGGGUUCCGAGCCUUCUCUGCACUGCCCGUCUGGCUUGGCCGCGUCCUGCCGUCCACGGUCCUGGAGUCCAGGUAGCAGAAAACAAACAGGCAUGUAGCCACAGUCACCAGGGGGAGGCCAUCCAACACAUGGGGCACUUGUUCUUACGCGGCUGACCUAGUGCCAACAGAAAACGCUUCGGGGUGUCAGAUUCUGUCAAGAACGGAUAGAAAUGUCCACUGGAGUGAUUCGAGGGGUUCUUGUCUACACUGAGCUGUUCGUAAAUAGAUCAGCGGAUCUUGAAGCCCUCGGACGCUCUCUGCUUCCGUAAGGGAAGACUGAGAACAUAACGUCAUCGCUGGGAACACAAAAUGCUACGGGUUGAUUUUUUUUUUUUUUGGAUUGAGAUACAAUUGACUUGUAACAUUGUAUUCAUUCCGGGUGUGCGACACAGGGAUUCAACGUUUAUUAUAUGUUGCAAAGGAAUCAGGGCUCUAAGUCUGGGGAGUGUCCAUCAACACACGUUGUUAUAAACUUUAUUUUUUUGUGUCCAUUGGCACACACAGUUACAAAUUUUAUUUCUUGUGUCAUCAGCACAUAGAGUUACAAAUCUUAUUUUUUGUGCCUAUCACCACGCACAAUUUUUUUUUGUACAUUGGCACAUGUAGUUAUAAAUUUUAUUUUUUAAAUUUUUUUUGAAGAUUUUAUUUUCUUAUUUGACAGAGGGAGAGCAAGCACAAGCAGGGAGAGCAGCAGAGGGAGAGGGAGAAGCAGGGCCCCUAUACGGGGCUCGAUCCCAGGACCCCGGGAUCAUGACCUGAGCUGAAGGCAGACGCUUUACCGACGGAGCCACCCAGGCAGCCCACAAAUUUAGUUUUUUUAUUGUAAAUUGAGAACCUUAAAGAUUUACUCCCUUACCAACUUUUAAAUAUAGGCUACAGGAUUGUUAACUAGGGGCCCCAUGCUCCACGUGACGUCCCAGGACUUAUUCGUCCUGUAACGUCUCGUUUCUAUCUUUGACUCCCCUUCUCCCAUCAAUCGAUUUAUGGAUUGAUUUCAAAGCAUUAUUUUUCUUCUCUGUUUGCCACCUGUUAAGGCUUUUGUGCAUCAUACGUGAAUUGAGUGGUUUAUCUUUUGGUUGAAACGGAAGUUUGUAUGGUGCGUGUGCAAGGUCCUUUUGGAGAUGUGGUCCCAGUAAGCUCCCUCAGCUCUGAAGGGCAAAUUAUUAUUUUUUUUCUUUUUUUUCCUUUUUUUAAAGAUUUUAUUUAUUCGACAGAGAUAGAGACAGCCAGCGAGAGAGGGAACACAAGCAGGGGGAGUGGGAGGAAGAAGCAGGCUCCCAGCGGAGGAGCCUGAUGUGGGGCUCGAUCCCAGGACUCUGGGGAUCACACCCUGAGCCAAAGGCAGACGCUUAACCGCUGUGCCACCCAGGCGCCCCCAAAUUAUUAUUUCUAUCCUGUUUUCCAGCAUAAAGGUGAAGCACGGUGCUCAAACAGUCUGCUUUAAGGGACAGAUAUCUGUCACCGUAUAGAUGGCCCUGUCCCCAUAACGCUCCCUCCAAGGUGCACAAAUUGCUUAUAUGGGACAGGUGGUGUGUGAAGGGUCCUAGUUGAGAGGGGUCGAGAGCUGUCUUCUUUAAGCUCAAUGUGCCCACGUCAUGCUCCCAUCAUCCUCUUUCCAUGGAAAUUGUGGGACAAAAGCUUAUUCAAUAUUUUCAUAAGCAGCCACGUCGAACGUCGUAGGGUCAGAUGACGCCCCCACAUCCCUCGGGCCAGGGAGGUAUCCCGAUCCUGAGAUGCGUUUACCCCAUGCAUGUGUCUCUGAAGGUUCUCCCUCCACGAGGACCCUUUCCAGACCCUCUCGUUUUAUUCUUUGCCGGAUUCAUAAGCGGGAAAGAAAUGACUCAUCUAGCAGUGCUCUCGGGAGCCCUAAGGAUGCCUACAUCUUUUCCCCAGGAACUUAGUCAGGACUCUGAUCACAGCCCACCAUUUCUUGGGGACCUGCCUCCCUGCUGCGUGCAGAAAAGCACACUCAUCAGGAUGAUUAUUCACCCCGCGGGCAAAACGUCUGCAAAACAGCCCGCGCUCUCUGGCGGGGCCGGGGUCAAGCGCAGAGAGCUGCAGGACAAAGCCCGGCUGACGUUCACAGUUUUCCGGGGGGCCACAGUCACUGGCGUGUGAGGCUCUUGGAAAGAACAUCCGGCCCCGUCCAUGUCAGGACCCCUGUUUCACGGCACUGAGCUGCACCAGGCUGUGAAUCUGCUCUCAAAUUAGCACUGAGGAUUGGGCUCAUGCAACAGGGGACCGGGCCACCCAGCUUCUCCCUGCAGGUGGCAGAACCAAUUGGGCAAUGUCCCUUCCUCCUGCACAGAGGGCACCAGUCCUAACAGAUUAGUGACCGCAUUCUAGUGACCUCGUUUUACCUUACUUUUGAACGUUGCUACCUUUAAAGUCCCCACCUCCAAGCGCGGUCCCGUUCUGAGGUCCUGGGGACCUAGGACUUCAACAUAUGAAUUUUGGGGAGGGGGACAUGGCUCAGCCCAUAACCCCCAUCACCCAGUUGGAAGAGACAGUUGAUCAAAUGACCCAUCAGUGUGCAAACAGCACCCACAAAAACACUUCCGGUUCCAAAUUAACAAAAUUAGCGUCAAGCGGUUCGUUUGUCAUCUCAUACCUUGGUUGAGAAAUUGGUCUCCAGACAUCAGAAGAAGGUACCAGAAAUAUUUCUUUUUUUUUUUUUUUAAAGAUUUUAUUUAUUUGACAGAGAGACAGCUAGCGAGAGAGGGAACACAAGCAGGGGGGGUGGGAGAGGAAGAAGCAGGCUCAUAGCAGAGGAGCCUGAUGUGGGCCUCGAACCCAUAACGUGGGGAUCACGCCCUGAGCCGAAGGCAGACGCUUAACUGCUGUGCCACCCAGGCGCCCCCAGAAAUAUUUCUGUUCCACCGGCCGGGAUGGCUAGAGUCUGUGCCCACGGCCCUCCAGAGGUUGACCUCACAGAAAGCGUGUUUGCAUGUGAGCUAAGG
rnacentral:lncRNA from 1 species